AAUCAACGCUGGCGGCGUGCCUCAGACAUGCAAGUCGAACGCGAAAGUUCCCUUCGGGGGAUAAGUAGAGUGGCGUCCGGGUGAGUAACACGUAGGUAAUCUACCUUUGGGUGGGGAAUAACAACCGGAAACGGUUGCUAAUACCGCAUAAUGCAGCGGCACCACAUGGUAACAGUUGUUAAAGCGGGGGAUCGCAAGACCUCGCGCCUAAAGAGGAGCCUGCGGCGGAUUAGCUAGUUGGUAGGACGGCCUACCAAGGCAACGAUCCGUAGCCGGCCUGAGAGGGCGGUCGGCCACACUGACACUGAAAUACGGGUCAGACUCCUACGGGAGGCAGCAGUCGGGAAUUUUGGGCAAUGGG
rnacentral:rRNA from 1 species